GCCUGGUUAGCUUAGUUGGUAGUGCGUCUGCCUUGUAAGCGCUAGGCCGCGGGUUCGACUCCCGCCCGGGGCG
rnacentral:tRNA from 1 species